GUGGGGAAUAUUGGACAAUGGGGGGAACCCUGAUCCAGCCAUGCCGCGUGUGUGAAGAAGGCCUUUUGGUUGUAAAGCACUUUAAGCGAGGAGGAGGCUACCGAGAUUAAUACUCUUGGAUAGUGGACGUUACUCGCAGAAUAAGCACCGGCUAACUCUGUGCCAGCAGCCGCGGUAAUACAGAGGGUGCAAGCGUUAAUCGGAUUUACUGGGCGUAAAGCGCGCGUAGGUGGCCAAUUAAGUCAAAUGUGAAAUCCCCGAGCUUAACUUGGGAAUUGCAUUCGAGACUGGUUGGCUAGAGUAUGGGAGAGGAUGGUAGAAUUCCAGGUGUAGCGGUGAAAUGCGUAGAGAUCUGGAGGAAUACCGAUGGCGAAGGCAGCCAUCUGGCCUAAUACUGACGCUGAGGUACGAAAGCAUGGGGAGCAAACAGGAUUAGAAACCCUUGUAGUCC
rnacentral:rRNA from 1 species